AUGGAUCGUGUGGAAGGUUUGAUGAAGAGUUUGAAGUUGCCUGAUCUGGAGAGUAAGGGGAGGAAGAUUGCAUGGACGGGAGGGGGUAAGGCUGGGAUCGUGGAACCGCAAGCCCUGGCUAAGCUGCUGUCAGAUAAACCAGCCUACGCUGAAGGUAUGAUAAACUCUCUGGGCAGGAUCUGGUGUCCACUGAGAGGUCUAGAUUGCAAAGAUCUUUGAGACAAUGUUUUCAUGUUCACGUUCCACCAACAUUCUGGGAAGAGGAAAGCCCUCGAUGAGGGUCCAUGGAUGUUCAAUAAUCCCCUCCUGGUGGUGGAGGAUUUUGAUCCGGCAAAGAGCACCAAGGACUAUAAGUUUAUGACAGUUCCGAUCUGGGUACGUGUCUUUGAUCUGCCUUUGGGA
rnacentral:rRNA from 1 species